GGAUCAUGACCUGAGCCAAAGCCAGAUGCUUAACCCACUGAGCCACCCAGGGGUCCCCAGUGGAUAUACUUUUGAAUGCCUACCGGAAGCCAGGCACGGAGGUCAAAGGAUCCUGUGCCGGGGAACCAGGAGUUGAAAAGUGUCAAGUGACGAUGGGCUUUUCAUACCUUGUCACAAACUAGCCAGAAGCACUUGGUGCUUUGCCUGGCAGGGCAGAGGUUAAAUUAUGAACGUGGGAUGCGAUCCAGAAGGAAUGAAAACAUCUGGAUCCAAACAGAUUAAUGAAAUGGACGUGGGAAUGCCUUGAUCUAUAGCUCAUGUGGAAAGACAUGGUGUUGCUGUUCCUAGAUCAGACUUUGUGGAUGACUAUCACAAAUUCAGAUUCUGUGGUGCUGAGUGAAAUGUCUGUGAUGUGCCAAGCCUCUCACUUUGCAGAUAGAAGAUCACUGCUCCUGAGCAUGAGAAGGAAGAGGAGAAGACCACCACUCCUGGGUCCUAUAUAGGAACCCACCAGGCAUUGCCUUAACUGAUGCUUUCUUCCUGCUCCCAGGAGUGUGGGAGGGAAUAUCAGACUCCACAAGAAACUGUAAACCUCCCCACCGCCCCUGCUCACCCAGAGCCUGGGUCUACCCAGGUCGGACUGAUUCCAAAGCAAGACUGGCUUACAGCAGGGCUGUAGUCCAAGGAGUAAGACUGGUCAACGCUGAUGUCCAGUUACAAUAAUAGAGCCUUGACCAAGCUCUGCUGGCAGCUGGAGAAGGAAGCAACACAACAAGACGAAGGGUAACAGAGGCCACCGCUCAUCCCCAAUCUCCUUUCCCAAGUGUGAGCUGCUCUAUAUAAGCUUAUGUGAGCUCGAUAGGCUGCUUACCGAGCCACUCAUACCGGACACCAAGUACUCUUAAUUAUUGAGCAAGGGUUUCCCUCUGAACUCUACAUAGUCCAGUAUCUUGUGCCUAUUUUACGGACAAGAGAAAUA